rnacentral:rRNA from 1 species
UACAGAGGUCCCAAGCGUUGUUCGGAAUUACUGGGUGUAAAGGGUUCGUAGGCGGUGUGGCAAGUUGGGAGUGAAAUCUCUGGGCUCAACCCAGAGGCUGCUUCCAAAACUGCUGUGCUUGAGUGUGGGAGAGGCGCGUGGAAUUGCAGGUGUAGCGGUGAAAUGCGUAGAUAUCUGCAGGAACACCCGUGGCGAAAGCGGCGCGCUGGACCACAACUGACGCUGAGGAACGAAAGCUAGGGGAGCAAACAGG